GUAGUAUGUCUUUGCAACUAUGUUGCAACUCCUAGGCUUAGGUGCUUAGUAGAAAGUCUAUUAUUUUACACUGAAAUUUUCAAACUGAUUCCAAAACAUUUAGUAUUGUUGCAGAAAAUUCGAUUUGUAACUUCAUAAAGAUAACAUGUUUACUAAAGUGUUUUUUUUUUUUUUUUUUUUUUUUGCAACAGGAGCACAAACAUUUCCCAAUGAAACAUAUGAAUGGGUUAAUGUCAAAGAUGUUGCAGAUGCUCAUGUUCUAGCAUUUGAGACUCCUUCAGCUAAUGGAAGAUAUAUAAUAGCCGAGAGAGUUGCUCAUUAUUCACAUAUUGUAACAGCUUUGCAUGAACUUUAUCCAACUUUGCCCCUUCCUGAAAAGUGCGCGGAUGACAAGCCUUACGUGCCAACAUACCAAGUAUCACAGGAGAAAGCUAGAAGCUUGGGCAUCAAUUUCAUCCCACUGGAGGUGAGCCUGAAGGAAACCGUCGAAAGCUUGAAGGAGAAAGGCUUUGCUUAGUUACUGAAGUUUGAUCAAUAGAAGUCAUACAAAUAAAGGACAAUAGAGUGGACUAGAUAAACUCUCUCUUUUCUAAGUGCUAACAAUAAAUGAGUUGCUAGAAAAUAAAGUUGGUAAUGAAAAAGUGUUCAGUAUUGAUGGUUA